rnacentral:lncRNA from 1 species
GUAUAUAUGGACAAUUGAAUUCGCUUUUUUUUUUUUUUUAUCAUAACAGUUUAUUUGUUUAUGUGUUAACUUACUAACUUACUAACUUAUUUGUAUUUUUUGUUUUUGCAGGAGUUGCAUACCACCCAGCAGAUGCAGUAUGGGAAAAAAUAUCAGGCGUUAAGUUCGGUCCCAUGAUAUUAACAGCUCAAAGCAGAACGACGAAUGUAAUUUUGUCUAAAAAGAGAUCAAUCGAAUUAGGAAACAUAUUACAUAAUCUUAUCUACGGUUAUAUAUACAAAGGAGAUAACGUCAGACUUACCAUUGGAAAAGAAUCUAAAAAUGUCAAAAGUGGUUCUCCCUUUUUUUUUGCCAAGUUUUAUGGACUGCAGUAUACAUAACGACGAUGAUGCAGGAUCCGCUAAAAUCUUUUUAUGUUUUGUUUAUUUGAAUUAACAUACAUAUAUUUAUGUAUGUAAUAUGUCCUUUUUUUUUUUUUUAACAAUACUUUCGCCUUACAUUCGUAUGGAUCAUUUUUUUUUUUUUUUUUAUAAUACUAG